GGAGAGCUGGCUGAGUGGUCGAAAGCACCGCACUCGAAAUGCGGCAUACGGGCGACCGUAUCGAGGGUUCGAAUCCUCGCUCUCCUCCA
rnacentral:tRNA from 1 species